rnacentral:rRNA from 1 species
GCAGUCGAGCGGACUGAUGGGAGCUUGGCUUCUCCUGAUGUUUUCGGCGGAGAGGUGAGUAUCACGUGUGUGACCUGCGCGUGUGACAGGGAUAUCUCCCCGGGACCGGGGCUCUUACAGGAGGCUUGUUUGAACCGCGCGGUUCAAACAUAUGAGGUGGCUUCUGCGACCACUUACAGAUAGACCCGCGGCGCGCUAUCUCUUUGGUGAGGUGUUGGCUCUCCACGGCGACGAUACGUAGCCCACAUGAGAGGGUGAGCGGCCACACUGUGACAGAGACACGGCCCACACACCCACAGGAGGCGCCACUAUGGAAUCUUCUGCACUGUGCAAAAGUCUGACAGAGCACCGCCCCGCGAGUGAUGAAAGUGUUCUGAUCUCAUAGCUCUCUUGUGAUGGAAAAAAACGUAUAGUUCAAUUAGGGCGGGACCUUGGCGGGUCCUAACCCAAAAGCCCCGGGUAAAUACCUGCCCACAGCCCCGGUAAUACCUAAGUGGGAAGCGUUUUCCGGAAUUUUUGGGGGUAAAGGGGUCCCAGGGGGUUCUCUUAAUCUGAUGUGAAAACCCCCGGGUCCACCGGGGAGGGGCAUUGGAAACUGGGGAAAUUGAGUGCCAAAAAAGAAAGUGGAAUUCCCCGUGUAGCGGUGAAAUGCGUAAAGAUGUGGAGGAACACCAGUGGCGAAAGCGACUCUUUGGUCUGUAACUGACGCUGAGGAGCGAAAGCGUGGGGAGCGAACAGGAUUAGAUACCCUGGUAGUCCACGCCGUAAACGAUGAGUGCUAAGUGUUAGGGGGUUUCCGCCCCUUAGUGCUGCAGCUAACGCAUUAAGCACUCCGCCUGGGGAGUACGGUCGCAAGACUGAAACUCAAAGGAAUUGACGGGGGCCCGCACAAGCGGUGGAGCAUGUGGUUUAAUUCGAAGCAACGCGAAGAACCUUACCAGGUCUUGACAUCCUCUGACAA